UCUAAGAGUAGUUUGAUCUGGGCAGCCAUGCUAUAGAACUUCUCCUGGGACGGCGGCUGUGGCUGCAGGGAAAGGCCCAGAAUGAAGGCAGAAGAACCAACCCAUGUAAGACCCAUAUUCCAAAUCUCAUCUGUCAUGAAGGGCUCUCCUUACUGAGGCGGACUCAAGCCUGAAGUGACUUCCUUCGGAAAUCUUAUGAGUUGGGAGAGCCCAGCGAAGCCACGAAACAGGUGAGGGAAUCAGGGCCCGGAAGUCAGGGAAGGCUCCUGAAGAGAGCUGCAGAACGACGGGUCAGCAGCCAGCGAAAGAAGCGCCGGCGUUCUCCCGGGAGGAAGGGAGUCCAGAAAUGAGCCGCAGGCUCUUCCCUGAGGCAGGCAGUUCAGAUACUGGUCUGGAGGUCUCCAUUGAGGAGGGUCCUCUGGGUCUCCGUGGUCUCAUUCAGCCGGGAUUUGUCCUGCUUACUGUCACUCCGUUCCCCAUCAUCUGUGCCGCUCACCUUGACCAAG